UCUAGAUUAAAACACAAAACAACAUUGACUGAAUUAUGAAGUUUUCCAAGUGGGUGAACCAUCAAUUCUUAACCAUCAUCAUCAUUUAGUAUCCGUUGUCCAUCUGUUAUACAUAUAUAAACACACACGCAUAGUUGCCCCAUAGAAUCAAUUCCUUCCCAUCUAAAUGUAUAUAGAACCCCUAGCACAGUUCAUUUUCAGUACACCCAAUUGAGCAUUCCAGCUAAUGUUGUGUUGUAAGUUGACAUUUCUCAUUCAGCAUAACUUUGCCAUUGCUUAUAAAUUCUUGUUGAUAGCAUCACUUGCAGCUCUUUCUAUAAUUUCUAAUAAACUACUACUUAUGCCUCAAUAUUCAGCUUAAUUUUAUUAUUGCUUACAAAUUCUUGCUAAUAGAAUUGCCUGCAGCUAUUUUUAAUUUUUAAUGAUUUCUAAUAAAUUAUUUCAUAUGCCUCAAUUUUUAUGGGUUUUUCCCCAUUAUUAUCCCUAAUUUUACCUUGCAUGAAUGUAUAUAUAUAUAUAUAUAUAUAUAUAUAUACUUUAAAUACUUACGCUUAAAAUGCUUUAAAGAAAAUGUUUGCUUGUCUUUUAACUUCAUUUAUACAGGUGUAUUUUUAUAAUGUAAAUUGAUAUUAAUUUCUGCUUUAUUUCUUUGCUUAGGCAUGCUGCAUUUUGUUUUAAGAUUACUAAUGCUGACUUAUCCUUAAAAGGAAAACAAAAAGAUGCACAUUCAUCCUUCUUUUCUUUGCUGUCUUUUAGCUUUAUGAUUUCAUCAGUUUUGUAACAUUUACUUCAGUAAUGUUUGUUUGUUUUAUAUUAAUAGAGAUAAUUCCAGUAAUUUUGCAAGCUUUUGAUCAGUUUUGAAAUGUUUAGUAAUGAAUUUGUUACUAUUUGAAUAAUCAUUGCAAACUGACUGGAAUUAUAACUUACCUUUCAGUUUAUUUAUAUUAUAAUUCAAGUGAAUGUGUCUGAUGCUAGAUUGACUUAGCUAUGUUGCAUGCAUCUCUUACCUAAUUCAAAAGUUAUAACAUAACAAAUUACCCAUUCUUUAAAGAUAUAUUUAUAUCUUGUAGUAAGUCUAUCGCUAGAGCUUCUUAUUUCUAAUCAUUGUGAAGUUGUGAUGAUAGCUGUGAGGAAGUUUGCCUAGGAUAAGAGUGAAGGGAAUAUGCUAUUAAGCAGAUAUUAUUAGUAAUUUCUUUACAGAACAUCAUUGAUAAAUAACUUCAGUGGUAUAUAUAUAUAUAUAUAUAUAUAUACCAAGAAAGUUAGGGGUUGUGGAUCCAACCCACUAAGGGAUAAUACUUAUCCAAUAUACUGUUGGUAUAAUACCCAAUUAUUAAUACACAAGUGUUUUUAAUUGCAAUACAAUAAACUUACUUAUUGUAUUAAAUGGGUGAAGGUAAAGAGAUAUUUUACCAUUAAUUUAUAUUGCAAAUAAGAAAAUGGAGAAGCACAUUAGUUGGUUCAUCAACUUUUGGACUUUAAAAUGUUGACUUAUUUAUUUAUCAAAAUGACAACCAUAAUAAUAUACAUACAUAUAGUAUAUUAUUCAAUGCAUAUAAGAUAAGAAUACAAGCAGUUAUCAAAUUAAUAAUUUAUAUUCAUGUUUUUUAAUAACUGCUUGUAUUCUUAUCUUAUAUGCAUUGAAUAAUAUACUAUAUGUAUGUAUAUUAUUAUGGUUGUCGUUUUGAUAAAUAAAUAAGUCAACAUUUGAAUGUCCUAAAGUUGAUGAACCAACUAAUGUGCAUGUCUUUUGCUAACACCUCAGUAUUAAACUAGUAAUAUGCUCACUGUUCAAAUCUUCAAAAAUUUUUUUAGAUUAUAUGAAACAACUUGGAUUUUACAAAUCUAGGAGACAUAAAGAUUAUACAGAUUCUUGUACCACUCAGGUUCCAUUAAACAAUUAUGUAACACUUUAUAGCUACAUACAAUUAAUAGCCAUAGUUUUGAUUUCUCAUUUGGGAACACCUUCAGUUUUGUGAUGCUAUAUUUUAUUUUCUUGCUGAAAUCUUGAGAUUAGCAUGAAUGUCAAAAAUUCCAAUUUUCUCUAUCACCUAUAACUCUGAAGCUUUGUGUUAAUGUAAAGAAAUUUACAUCUUAUACAGAGAUUGCCUUCUUCAUUGAUGUAAUUCCACCAGAUUCUCACAAGAAAUGAAGAAAGCAAUUCGUUUCUACAGAUUUUUACUUUUUCUGGUCUGUUAGAAUUCAUGAAAAACAUGUCUAGAUUCUUCACUUAAUAUGAAUUACUAUAGAUCUUUUCAAAUUCCUCUUAUUCAUAGCUAUAUCUUCAAUACAAGCAUGGUCUUUGCUUUUAGUUUUCCUGUUUACUCAGGCUUACUGAUAAAUCUAGAAAAUAAAAAGUUUUCAUUAAAAUCCACCACAUCAAGAUGUGCUAAACUUACAAACACUGUUUUAAAAAAACAUAUUAAGCUGAACUAUAUAAUUCAAGUUAGUGAUAUACAAAAUUUUUAUCUAACUCAUUAUGUAAGCAAAACUUGUUUAUUAUUCUUAUUUUAUAUAUCCAUUGUCUGGAAAUCUUUCAUCACACACCUGUGACCUCUUCAGUGACACUCCAUCCCAUGUAUCUCCUCCAGUUUUAAUGUUGCAAUGCAAUUAUGAUGUAUGUGUUGUUGACUGUGAAACAGUUGCUAGCUAAAGUGUUGAGUUAUCAGUGUAGUAAGUCAAAACAACUAGUGACAAGAAGGCCUGGUGCUAAUAGAAUUUGAGGUUUUGAUUUCUGAGGUCAUUAAUUACCUUUUCUAUCAAAAUUGGACAAAAAGACCUAAUCUGCAUACUAAGAGCUAUUAUAACAUACAUGCAUCCAAUAGCAUUUCCAUUGAUAAAAUAUACAAGGUAGAUUUCUUAAAAUUAACUUAGACUUGCUGUUAUUUAUUUAUUGCUUUAGGAUGGACAGGUUUUAGAUUAUAUACUCAGAUAUAUUCUUGACUGGUGGAAAUCUCUGGAUAUAAGUAAUCCUAAUUAAAAUUACUCAGUUGCAACUGCUUGAAUCUUGCAUUAUUUUAAACCUUAGUAAUUGUAAAAAAUAGUAAAGACACCCUUUUGGAUGGUUUUUUUUUCUGCUUUUUUGCUUAAAGCUUUAUAUUUGCUGCUUUAUUCUACUUGUUUUUCUUUGUAUUAAAACUGCAUGUCAUUUAAGUGUAUGUGUUUUAUAUUUCAUUUUAUCUCAUUCCUUUUACUGUUUUAAAUGUUGUAUUACUAAAAUCUCUUAUCUUUUAAUAAAUAACUUUAUAAUAAAUUUUGUAAUUCUAUAAAUUGAUAAAAAAAAAAUUGAGAUUAGCUGAAAUGACAAGAGAAUGCAAAUGGAAUUUCAAAGUUAAAAGGAAAGAUGUCAACAGGCUAUGCUUUAUUCUUUGAAUAAUUGAUCAUUCUUUAUGGAUACUUAAAAAAUCACAACAAUAAUAAUAAUGAUAAUCUUAAUAAUGAUGAUGAUAAUCUCAAGAUUUCUGACAUGGUUUUAUAAAUCAAAAAGAGGGGAAAAUGUGUGUGUGCAUGAUGAAUUUAUCUAACUGUAUUAUCAUUACAUUAACUUCUCAUUUUAUUUUUCUCAACACAGGGAGCAAUUGUGCAUCGCAUUAUUG
rnacentral:lncRNA from 1 species